GGCCGCACAAGCGGUGGAGCAUGUGGUUAAUUCGACGCAACGCGAAGAACCUUACCAGGGCUUGACAUCCCCUGACCGCGUAUGAAAGUACGUUUUCACCCUCGGGUGACAGGGAGACAGGUGGUGCAUGGUUGUCGUCAGCUCGUGUCGUGAGAUGUUGGGUUAAGUCCCGCAACGAGCGCAACCCCUACGUUUAGUUGCUAACAGGUGAAGCUGAGCACUCUAGACGAACUGCCGUUGACAAAACGGAGGAAGGUGGGAUGACGUCAAAUCAUCAUGCCCCUUAUGUUCUGGGCUACACACGUGCUACAAUGGCCGGUACAGACGGAGGCGAAGCCGCGAGGCGGAGCAAAUCCGAAAAAGCCGGUCUCAGUUCGGAUUGCAGGCUGCAAUUCGCCUGCAUGAAGUCGGAAUCGCUAGUAAUCGCAGGUCAGCAUACUGCGGUCGAAUACGUUCCCGGGCCUU
rnacentral:rRNA from 1 species